GCUCGUGGUUGCGGCUUCUCCUCUGAUAAAUUGCACAGCCUUCACAAAAUUUUCGUCUAUGGAAAUCUCUUAGCAGAUGAUGUCGUUCGUGUUCUCUCGAGGCGCAUUCCUCAAUCGUCAUUCACAGAUUUAGCAUUAAAGGACGUGUGUAUCCGACUAUUUUGCCCAAAGAGAACAAGAGAGUUGCCGGAACGGUAAUUGCCAAGAAGUUUGAAGAAUAUCAAAUUCAAAUUAAUAAACAUUGUAAACUUAUGGAGGGGUUUACGUUUUAGAGAAAAUACUUGGUUAAAAGAGAUGAGUCGUAUCUCAAUAAUUUAUCACGACUCGACAACAUUAGGAGCAUCAGUGAAGCCUCCAGCACAUCCGCCAGCUAUUGGAUAGCAACACUUACACAUUUAACCAUUAGUUAUUCUUUCUACACUCUCUUUUAAAACAGAAAGAGCAGCU